AGCGAACGCUGGCGGCAGGCUUAACACAUGCAAGUCGAACGGUCCUUCGGGAUAGUGGCGGACGGGUGAGUAACACGUGGGAACGUACCCUUAGGUUCGGAACAACACAGGGAAACUUGUGCUAAUACCGGAUAAGCCCUUCGGGGGAAAGAUUUAUCGCCUUUGGAGCGGCCCGCGUCUGAUUAUCUUGCUGGUGAGGUAAUGGCUCACCAAGGCUACGAUCAGUAGCUGGUUUGAGAGGAUGGCCAGCCACACUGGUACUGAGACACGGCCCAGAGUCCUACGGGAGGCAGCAGUGGGGAAUCUUGCGCAAUGGGCGAAAGCCUGACGCAGCAAUGCCGCGUGGAUGAUGAAGGUCUUAGGAUUGUAAAAUCCUUUCACCGGGGACGAUAAUGACGGUACCCGGAGAAGAAGCCCCGGCUAACUUCGUGCCAGCCGCCGCCGUAA
rnacentral:rRNA from 1 species